AUCCAAAAUUAAGGAAAGAGACCCCACCCAAAAUUGAUGAAUUAACUCUCUUGCUUUGACAAUUGUAUGACUGAUUAAGGCAUUGACUACUAGAUUGAUAAGGCACUGAAAUAAAAAAAAGGGUUUAUUUGUAAAAGUAUGUCAUCAUUCGAAGAACUUGUCUGGAUUGCCAUUCCACUUACAGUGGGUGUUAAACGAUCGGGAGUUUGUGUUUGUGGAAGGAGUUAAGCUGGGGAAACACAAAUAAAGCAAUGAAAUGCAGUGCCGACGACGAUGACGCACAAUAAAACAGAAAGAAAGGAAACCUAAUACACAGGAAAAUAAUUUCAAAAAUAAAUAAAACUGAUCCAAUGCUAAAGAACAUAAAUAAGAAAUUCUAAGUGAAUUAAUACUUCAACAGGAUUAGUUGAUAUAUUUGUUUUAAUUCAUUGUAAUAGCUGUAAUUUGUAGUAUCUAUUUUAUAUAAUUUUUUUAUAGUGUAGGAGAGCUGCAACAAGGCAACACUGACGGAAGUUCGCCGGCGAUGUCACUCGUGUAAAAUAUUGCACUGGCCUUGGGAGCAGCACGCACAAUGUGACUGCGCUGUCAAGACGAUUAACAACAGCCACAAAAGUCGCAAGUCGCCACAACAACAUCACCACCAACAAAAUUAACAAAAAAAAACACAUAUAUAUAUAUAUAUAUAUAAAAAACUGCAGCAACUGCAACUUUGGCCAUGACGCUGGAGGAGCACCAUAUUGUGCGCAUCUGGAGGACCCUAGCUUGCAUUUUUUUGCGGUUGACUGUGGCGUCUGCUAAGUGUCAACUUUUAACCGCAUGUUGCAGUUGCAGUUGCUGCUGCUGCUGCUGCUGUUGUUGCAGUUCCAACUGCAAUUUCCCAAUUCGCAAAAAAAAGGGCCACAAGGGUAAAAUUAACUUCUGAGUCAGUUGGAAGAGGAAGGGCCUAACACCCGCAUCUAGGCACAUGUUUUCUGAGAUGAUUAAACUCCCCAGCAUUCGUACAGUUGCAAGUGAAUCAGACCGAAAAAUCCUCAGAAAUUCCCAUCUUUUAAUGAUUUUAUUUAAGGGACUUUUUGUUUUUAAAUACAUUUAUUGAAGUAUAAUGUUUGCUUAUUCAUUAGGCUGAAAUAUAAUUCAUAAAACAAAAAUAUUAUUUAUUUAAGAGGGUUUUUAGCUGAUUUCCUAAUCCUUUAUAAUAGUUUCGUAUAUAUACUUAUCUUUCAUACAAAUAAAAAUGAUCUCAAUAUUUCUCGCAGUGCACGCUUAUCGUUCUGCUUAUCUCAGAACGCGAUUGCUGAACCUGUAAACGCAAUUUUAGCAACAUUUUUGGAUACCGCAUUUGAAGUGUGUUAAAUUAGCAUUAAACAAUAAUUCUGUAUCUUUUUUUUUUGGUUUUUGGCUUAGCUUAGCUGGUGUGCUGCCAAGUACUGUUGUUGUGGUGAAUGCAAAAUAAAUUGCGCAUAAAGUUUAAUCACUUUGACUUUGUACAACACACAAACACAGAUACACACUAAUACAGCAGAAAGCAACCGAAAAAUAAAAACGCAUAACAAAAGAUUCUUCACAAAUACAAAUACAUAUAUAGCGACAACCAUACAAUAUCGGCAGAAACAGCAGCAGAAGCACCAACAACAUCAGUGGACAGUGCAAAAUAAGUAUAAAAAUAAAAAAAAAUAUAUACAUAUAUACAAGGCAAAGGCGGCGUUGGCAGCAGCGGAGCAAGAAAGUCAACAACCUCCAGUGCAUUACUCACUUUUAAAGACCGUGUGUGUCCUUCAACAAAAACUUUAUCUCCGUCUCUCGCUCACUCACUCACUCACUCGGUCGGGCGCUGGCUCUCUGGAUCUCUGGAAGUUGCUUCGUUUUUUACAUUUUAUAAUUAAACAAUUUUGCAGUCGCCCUCCCAGACCACCUACCUCCCAGAUCCCGCCAAUCAUUUUUUUUUUUUCGACAAACAACAACCCGAAAAAAGUAAAGCUUGCUGCACGGAAAAAAAUCUAAUAGUUAGAUUCUUGGGAGUUAGUGAGUUAAGGAAGAGCUAUAGACAAAAAUUAAAGCCUACUUUUGAGAGCCAGGAUCCUUUUUAGUACUAAUAAAUAAAUUAUUACAUUGUAGGUAUUUUUUAAUUGAUUUAAAAGUAAAAUUAUGCUAGAAGUACUUUAGAAGGCUCUUCUAAAAGAAAUUGAAGCCUACUUUUCAGAUCCAGGAUCUAGGAUCUUCUCUCAUGAAGCUAUUACUCAAAAUACCAUAUUAAAUUGUUGGUAUUUUUUAGUUAGUAGUAUUUUCGUAUCUAUUUUUAUUGGAAUGUAAUGACUGGAAUGAUUUCUCAGUGUGACUAUUUUCAUUCUUCCUUGAGCUCUCCAAUCUUCGCACAAGUGACUCUCUUCUAUCUCCGCUUUAUCGAUUGGGGGCUUCGGAAACUGUCGAUUCUGCUGCUGCGCAUUUUGGCGAGAUGCGAGAUGAAUAAACUUUUGUGCGCUUGCGUGACCUGUUCGCAGUCGCUCCUUCUCUUUUCACUGCUCCUUUGCCGGCCCGGCAGCCCCCCACGCAAGACAGAGAGAGCGCUAGAGUGGGAGAGUCUGCCACAUCCGCUUUGCAUGUGUGUGCGUUUGUGCGGUUAAUGUCAUUGACUGCAAUUUGUUAGCAAAAUAUUCCAACUGAUAAAUAAAAUCUACACAAUGCCAAUGAACUGCCUGUACACACAUCCUACGCCCCACAAAAAAAAAACACACCACAAAAAACCCGAAAAAUUGCAAUUCGCGCCCCAAUUGACAAGCAACUAAGAAAGUGUGUGCAACUGAGAUAGCAAUCGAGCUUCGUAUCGCACUCACACCCAUACACCCCAGGCACAGGUUGGCAAUGCCAUAAACAAAGAAUUCCUUUUGUUUGUUGAUUCGAUUUUUGUUCUCCGAUUCUUUCUUUUUUUGCGUUUUUUUAAAUUGUAUUUUUAUUUUUAAAUAAACAAGCGCAAAGUCGUCGCUGUGGUGGAGUUCAUUGCAUUCGCCAGAAUAAGAAAAUAUAACAAAUAAGACAACAAAAAAAAACAAUCCAUAAAAAAGAAACACAACCUCAACUGAUAUACAUGGCGUAUAAUUAACGUCUGCGCGUGUAUGGGGAGUUCAAGUUAAUUUAUCAAUUUUUUCUUUUUUUUUUUGGGACAUACAAUACUUGCAUUUUAAAGGGGGGAGUACGGAUCACUCAUAAUUCCAUGGGGGGGGUUGCUAAAAACGAAAAUCAAUCAAUUGAUUAAUUGUAGUUAUUAAAAACUUAUUAAAUAUUAUUAUUAUAUUAUCAAUUAUGCAAUUUCACAUAUUUUUGGCCAAAAUCUAUUCCCCGAAGUGUGAACAGUUAUGUCCUUUCGCUCAGCUGGCGCAUUUCUCAGAUGGUGCCCGAUUUCCAAAGAGAGCAUUGAAUGUCAUGGCUACUCCGAUUACACUAAAGUCGGUCAAUAACUUUUUGGUCCCUUAAGUAGCGUUUAAGUAACCAAACCACAAGUGAUCAAGAUGUUCCUGUUGUUGUUUACUCCUUUAUGAACUGAUCUUUAGUUAAUGCCUCGCCAGCUCGGAUGGCACGUUAUUUUAGUUGACCAGUUUAAUGACUUGAACUUAAUUUGCGCCCUGGGAGAGAGGAAACAAGCAAAAAUAUUCGAACAACAAGGCAGACAACACCCAACGGCAGAAACAUGGCCUGGACGGAAAAAGAGUGCAGCAGCGACGUGUCUGGAAAAGUGCAGUAGCGGGAUUAAAAGCUUAAAAGGAAAUGGAAUUAGUAUUGUUACCUAGAAUUUCAAAAAUUAAAUGCUUUACAAUACUUACCUAUUUUGUUAACCUACACUGUUUAAGACGUGUGGGGGUAGUAGGCGGCGGAGGCUGCAGGAAGAGCCCCAAAGAGAUGUGCCAAUAUGCGUGUGUGUGUGUGAGUGGGUCGCUAAAAAAAAAAAGUAAGAAAGAAAAGCCAAGAUCCCGAAAAAAAUUGCGAAACCAAGAAAGAAGCAAAGCCGAAAUAAAAAACAGAACGAUGCUCAAGUAACUCAUAUUGAUGUGUGGUGGUGUGAGUGUGUGCGCAGCUACUGCGACGCCGACAGAGGGCCGGCAUGGCAUUGCCAGGGCCAGGCCAAUUCCAAUAUAUAAGCGGUGAUCGAAAGAUGCAAAAUGCUCAUUCAGUCGCCGUUCGUUCCGUUCGCUUUACUUUUUUCUCGCAUAUAAAAAAGUCAAACAAAAUAAUAAAAUGAAGCAUGCGAAAGCGGCAGCGAUCACACACACACAUAGAUAUUGGCAUACACGCACACCAAUGCAUUUGGUGCCGCCAUUGCGUAUGGCGGCCAUUGAAGCCGACUGCGCUGCCAAUUGUGCUGUCGGCGGCGCUGCCGGAGAGUAUAAAAGCAUAAAAUCACUUCGUACUCGGGUUUAUUAAAACCAAAACUGUGCAAGUGUCGAGAUCGCAGCAAAAAUUCCACCCAGGACAAAAUUCAAAAAACUUUAAUCUACAAAAGAAAAAAAAAAUACACAUGGUGUUAAAAAAGAAAAGAAAAAAUUAAAUUCUGGCCGUAAAGUGAAAGUUUGGAAAAUGAAAUAAAAACACAAUUCGCAGAUAAUAAUCACAAAGAGUAAUAGCAACUUGGCGUUAAAUAAAAGUUUCGCACGCCACGCGACGCGCCCCGCGUCACAAAAAUAAAACAAAAAGCGAGGAAACAAGAAAAAAAAAAAAGAAAAUCGAAAGUGUUCUACUGACAUGGAUUACUUUUGCUCCCCAAACUACAAAUACAACAACAACAACCAGGGCGAAGAGAAACUAGCGCUAGUUUUUUUUCUAUUCAUAGAGAAGCCGAGAGCAGGAGAGCGAGAGCUCCAAAAUAGAAAGGUCUACACGGGGGAAUAUUUUCAAAGAAAAAGAGAUAGAUUUAUAUUUAUAGGUUUGGAGAGUUAUAUCCUUUUUUGAAACUUAAUAAUUUUAUAAAAAUUACUGUAAAAACACCAGUUGAAACUCUAAUUUUAGUUUGUAGAUUGUAGAUUUCGCUUUAUCUUUGCAUUUCCUUUUCCCCCCUUUUUUGGAGAGAUUUAAGUUUUUUAUCUUUAUAGACUUCCUCUGUAUCUGAGUUAUUUCUCCGAGUGUAGCCGCUGAUCUCUUUGCACGGUCUACGUGCACUUGGCCACACGCUUCGCUCUCCCCAUGUGGCGCUCUCUCGAUAGCUCCCGAGCAGGAAUUCUAACUCGCAUUCUCGCACUGCUUUGAACUUGAACUUUAAAUGCACACACACAGAUCUCUAAACAUUUAUGCUUGUCGGUGUUUGAGGGCGUGCUCCCCCUAUCGCCCCUAUUGCCCCUAUUGCCCCUAUCGAUAGCCCCAACGAUUCUCUCUCUGUCUGUCUAUCUCUCUCUUUGCCUGUGGGCCCCCGGUCACUUGGCUAAUCGCAGAAGAAACGAACAAAAUUAUUUGCGAGGCGGCGGUCGUUCCAUUUGGGUGCUCGGCAUUUCGCUUGACGAUAAUUUUUUUCGUCUGGCUUGCAAUUAAUUUUUGGGCUCUUGACGAGCCCCAAAAGUGAAAGUUUUGUGUGAAAGACGUGGCACUUUUAUAUCAAACAGCAGCAAACAAAAUCAAAAAAAAAAAAAAACGAAAAAAGAUCAAACAUGAACUGUACGCAAAACACGAAAUGCGAAACGGCGGCAACAAGUUAAUAAAUUAAGACGUCGAUCGGCAAGCGAAAAUUCAAAUCGAAAGAAAGCGGCGCUGCAAAAAUGCCUUGCUUUUUUUUGCGCAGCUGCUUUACUAGUUUUUUAGUAUUAUUUCUGCCAUCAUUUUCCGGUUGGGUGUGGGGGGCCUGUUACUGCUGCUGUCUCGAGGAAGAAACAAGGCUGGGAAAAGCUGACAUUACGUAUACAACGUGUGGGCGUGGCCAUGCUCUAUGGCCGUUCUAAUUCGAAAAUCGAAAAUUUCCUUAUAGAUCUAGCCUCUACUAGGCUUUGUCUGUGCAUUCGAAAGUCGAUCAGACAUAGCCUAUAAGAGGUUAGGUGUACCAAGGCGACAAGACAUCACAAAAACGGAUUGAAGAUUACAGUUACCAAGUCGGAGGAGUACUCAUAAUAAUUUACCCAUUUUUCAGAUUCCCAAAUUUCCCAAUUUAUAGUAAAUAUUUCCCUUCAUCAUCUCCCUGGCGGCGAGGAAGCUACAAACAUCUGGACUGUUUAUUUAUUCCCGGCAUUAUUUAUUAGUUAGUAAUUUAUAAAUGUAUAUUUUUGAAUAAAAAGGCGUUUCUCUGAUAUUUGA